rnacentral:rRNA from 1 species
UACGUAGGGGGCAAGCGUUGUCCGGAAUCAUUGGGCGUAAAGCGCGCGUAGGCGGCCCGGUAAGUCCGUUGUGAAAGUCAAAGGCUCAACCUUUGAACGCCGAUGGAUACUGCCGGGCUAGAGUCCGGAAGAGGCGAGUGGAAUUCCUGGUGUAGCGGUGGAAUGCGCAGAUAUCAGGAGGAACACCAAUAGCGAAGGCAGCACUCUGGGACGUGACUGACGCUGAGACGCGAAAGCGUGGGGAGCAAACAGG